GUUUCGUUGCAAUAAUGCAUAAUAUCAAUACAUAAAACAGAGCUGAUUGUUGCAUUUUAACAACAUUUUCUUAGUAAACACACUAUAUACAUUUUAUACAAUUAUUUACAUUGUUUGAAACUUGUGCAAAUAAUUUAAGCAACAUGGCAACAAUUAACAAUAAGUAAGGUGUAUUUAUAGAUGGCAUACAUGGUAUUAUCAAAUAAAAGUCACUUAUAUACUGCUGUCCAUGUACC